rnacentral:tRNA from 1 species
AUUCAAUUAGUUUAAUAAAAACAUUAACUUGUGGGUUUAAAAAUAUAUUUAUAUAUUGAAUA